UCUAUAGAAUCAGCCUCUUUGUGCAUGUCCAGUCCUCACUGUUCCCUCACGCUCUACAGAAUAACCCUGUGUGUGCAGGAUCAGUCCUCAGUGUCAUCUCACACUCUAGAGAAUCAGCCUCUGUGUGCACGCUCAGUCCUCACUGUUCCCUCACACUCUACAGAAUAAGCCUCUGUGUGCACGCUCAGUCCUCACUGUUCCCUCACACUCUACAGAAUCAGCCUCUGUGUGCACGUUCAGUCCUCACUGUCACCUCAUACUCUACAGAAUUAGCCUCUGUUUGCACGUCUAAUCCUCACUGUUCCCUAACACUCUACAGUAUAAGCCUCCGUGCACAGAGGUUUAUUGUUCCCUCACACUCUACAGAAUCAACGUCUGUGUGCACGUUCAGUCCUCACUGUUCCCUCACACUCUACAGAAUCAGCCUCUGAGUGCACUUUCAGUCCUCACUGUUACCCCAAACUCUACUGAAUCAGCCUAUGUGUGCACGUUCAGUCCUCACUGUUACCUCAAAGUCUACAGAAUCAGCCUCUGUGUUCACGUUCAGUCCUUACUGUCACCUCACUCUCUAUAGAAUAAGCCUCUGUGUGCACGUUCAGU
rnacentral:lncRNA from 13 species